rnacentral:rRNA from 1 species
AUAUUCUGUAGCAAGGUUAACCGUAUAGGGGAGCCGCAGGGAAACCGAGUCUUAACUGGGCGUUAAGUUGCAGGGUAUAGACCCGAAACCCGGUGAUCUAGCCAUGGGCAGGUUGAAGGUUGGGUAACACUAACUGGAGGACCGAACCGACUAAUGUUGAAAAAUUAGCGGAUGACUUGUGGCUGGGGGUGAAAGGCCAAUCAAACCGGGAGAUAGCUGGUUCUCCCCGAAAGCUAUUUAGGUAGCGCCUCGUGAAUUCAUCUUCGGGGGUAGAGCACUGUUUCGGCUAGGGGGUCAUCCCGACUUACCAACCCGAUGCAAACUACGAAUACCGAAGAAUGUUAUCACGGGAGACACACGGCGGGUGCUAACGUCCGUCGUGAAGAGGGAAACAACCCAGACCGCCAGCUAAGGUCCCAAAGUCAUGGUUAAGUGGGAAACGAUGUGGGAAGGCACAGACAGCCAGGAUGUUGGCUUAGAAGCAGCCAUCAUUUAAAGAAAGCGUAAUAGCUCACUGGUCGAGUCGGCCUGCGCGGAAGAUGUAACGGGGCUAAACCAUGCACCGAAGCUGCGGCAGCGACACUAUGUGUUGUUGGGUAGGGGAGCGUUCUGUAAGCCUGCGAAGGUGACCUGUGAGGGUUGCUGGAGGUAUCAGAAGUGCGAAUGCUGACAUAAGUAACGAUAAAGCGGGUGAAAAGCCCGCUCGCCGGAAGACCAAGGGUUCCUGUCCAACGUUAAUCGGGGCAGGGUGAGUCGACCCCUAAGGCGAGGCCGAAAGGCGUAGUCGAUGGGAAACAGGUUAAUAUUCCUGUACUUGGUGUUACUGCGAAGGGGGGACGGAGAAGGCUAUGUUAGCCGGGCGACGGUUGUCCCGGUUUAAGCAUGUAGGCUGAUUAUCCAGGCAAAUCCGGAUAAUCAAGGCUGAGGUGUGAUGACGAGGCACUACGGUGCUGAAGUAACAAAUGCCCUGCUUCCAGGAAAAGCCUCUAAGCAUCAGGUAACAUCAAAUCGUACCCCAAACCGACACAGGUGGUCAGGUAGAGAAUACCAAGGCGCUUGAGAGAACUCGGGUGAAGGAACUAGGCAAAAUGGUGCCGUAACUUCGGGAGAAGGCACGCUGGUGUGUAGGUGAAGCCCCUGCGGGUGGAGCUGAGACCAGUCGAAGAUACCAGCUGGCUGCAACUGUUUAUUAAAAACACAGCACUGUGCAAACACGAAAGUGGACGUAUACGGUGUGACGCCUGCCCGGUGCCGGAAGGUUAAUUGAUGGGGUUAUCCGUAAGGAGAAGCUCUUGAUCGAAGCCCCGGUAAACGGCGGCCGUAACUAUAACGGUCCUAAGGUAGCGAAAUUCCUUGUCGGGUAAGUUCCGACCUGCACGAAUGGCGUAAUGA